rnacentral:rRNA from 1 species
UACGGAGGGUGCGAGCGUUGUUCGGAAUCACUGGGCGUAAAGCGCGUGUAGGCGGCUUCCUAAGUCUGAUGUGAAAGCCCGGGGCUUACCCCCGGAAGUGCAUUGGAAACUGAGAGGCUUGAGUACCGGAGAGGAAGGUGGAAUUCCUGGUGUAGCGGUGAAAUGCGUAGAUAUCAGGAGGAACACCGGUGGCGAAGGCGGCCUUCUGGACGGAUACUGACGCUGAGACGCGAAAGCGUGGGGAGCAAACAGG